rnacentral:rRNA from 1 species
UGGGGAAUAUUGCACAAUGGGGGAAACCCUGAUGCAGCGACGCCGCGUGAGCGAUGAAGUAUUUCGGUAUGUAAAGCUCUAUCAGCAGGGAAGAUAAUGACGGUACCUGACUAAGAAGCUCCGGCUAAAUACGUGCCAGCAGCCGCGGUAAUACGUAUGGAGCAAGCGUUAUCCGGAUUUACUGGGUGUAAAGGGAGCGUAGGCGGUCCUGCAAGUCUGAUGUGAAAACCCGGGGCUCAACCCCGGGACUGCAUUGGAAACUGUAGGACUAGAGUGUUGGAGGGGUAAGUGGAAUUCCUAGUGUAGCGGUGAAAUGCGUAGAUAUUAGGAGGAACACCAGUGGCGAAGGCGGCUUACUGGACGACCACUGACGCUGAGGCUCGAAAGCGUGGGGAGCAAACAGG